rnacentral:rRNA from 1 species
UACGUAGGGGGCUAGCGUUGUCCGGAUUUAUUGGGCGUAAAGAGCGUGUAGGCGGCCAGGUAGGUCUGCUGUGAAAACUCGAGGCUCAACCUCGAGACGUCGGCGGAAACCAUCUGGCUAGAGUCCGGAAGAGGAGAGUGGAAUUCCUGGUGUAGCGGUGAAAUGCGCAGAUAUCUGGAGGAAUACCGGUGGCGAAGGCGGCAUCCUGGACCGACAUUGACGCUGAACGGCGAAAGCUAGGGGAGCAAACGGG